CCUACGGGUGGCAGCAGUAGGGAAUUUUUCACAAUGGGCGAAAGCCUGAUGGAGCAAUGCCGCGUGAAUGAUGAAGGUCUUAUAGACUGUAAAAUUCUUUUAUUUGGGAAGAAAAACUAAAGUAGGAAAUGCCUUUAGUCUGACUUUCCCAUUUGAAUAAGUCUCGGCUAACCAGGUGCCAGCAGCCGCGGUAAUACAUAGGAUGCAAGCGUUAUCCGGAUUUACUGGGCGUAAAACGAACGCAGGCGGGUUAACAAGUUUGGUAUGAAAGGCCGUUGCUUAAGGAAAGUUUGUAUCAAAAACUGGUAAUCUAGAGUGUAGUAGAGAGGUGUGGAAUUCCAGGUGGAGGGGUGGAAUGCGUAGAUAUAUGGAAGAACACCAGUGGCGAAGGCGAGAACUUAGGCUAUAACUGACGCUUAGGAGCGAAAGUGUGGGGAGCAAAUAGGAUUAGAUACCCUUGUAGUC
rnacentral:rRNA from 1 species